rnacentral:rRNA from 1 species
UACGUAGGUGACCAGCGUUGUCCGGAUUUAUUGGGCGUAAAGGGCGCGCAGGCGGUCACGCACGUCCGUUGUGAAAUCGCUCGGCUCAACUGGGCGGGGUCAGCGGAUACGGCGUGACUGGAGCAAGCUAGGGGGCAAUGGAAUUCCCGGUGUAGUGGUGGAAUGCGUAGAUAUCGGGAGGAACACCAGUGGCGAAGGCGGUUGCCUGGAGCUUUGCUGACGCUGAGGCGCGAAAGCGUGGGGAGCGAUCCGG